GAGUUGCCCAUGCGGGGAAGGACGAGAACCUUCGACAAGGUUCGGGCGAGCGAACGCGAGCAACGUUGCGCAGCAACGGCCCGAAGGGU
rnacentral:sRNA from 1 species